CGGGGUGUAGCUCAGUGGCCAGAGCCUGAUCUUUGGGUGGUCAGCGUCGUGGGUUCGAAUCCCACCACCCCGACCA
rnacentral:tRNA from 1 species